CUACGGGAGGCAGCAGUGAGGAAUAUUGCACAAUGGGGGGAACCCUGAUGCAGCAACGCCGCGUGGAGGAUGACGCAUUUCGGUGUGUAAACUCCUUUUAUAUGUCAAGAAAAUGACGGUAGCAUAUGAAUAAGCACCGGCUAACUCUGCGCCAGCAGCCGCGGUAAUACGGAGGGUGCAAGCGUUACUCGGAAUCACUGGGCGUAAAGGACGCGUAGGCGGGUUGGAAAGUCAGGUGUGAAAUCCUACAGCUUAACUGUAGAACUGCACUUGAAACUUCUAAUCUAGAGUAUGGGAGGGGGAGAUGGAAUUAGUGGUGUAGGGGUAAGAUCCGUAGAUAUCACUAGGAAUACCUAAAGCGAAGGCGAUCUCCUGGAACAUUACUGACGCUAAGGCGUGAAAGCGUGGGGAGCAAACAGGAUUAGAUACCCGCGUAGUC
rnacentral:rRNA from 1 species